AACCUUAUGGACCUGCGGGCGUAUACCUGCGGAAGGAUCAUUACAGAGUUAUCCAACUCCCAAACCCAUGUGAACUUAUCUCUUUGUUGCCUCGGCGCAAGCUACCCGGGACCCCGCGCCCCGGGCGGCCCGCCGGCGGACAAACCAAAACUCUUGUUAUCUUAGUUGAUUCUCUGAGCGUCUUAUUUAAUAAGUCAAAACUUUUAACAACGGAUCU
rnacentral:misc_RNA from 1 species